GAGGCGUCGAGCGGCGGACGGGUGAGUAAUGCAUAGGAAUCUACCCAGUCGUGGGGGAUAACCUGAGGAAACUCAGGCUAAUACCGCAUACGUCCUACGGGAGAAAGCGGGGGCUCUUCGGACCUCGCGCGAUUGGAUGAGCCUAUGUCGGAUUAGCUUGUUGGUAAGGUAACGGCUUACCAAGGCGACGAUCCGUAGCUGGUCUGAGAGGAUGAUCAGCCACACCGGGACUGAGACACGGCCCGGACUCCUACGGGAGGCAGCAGUGGGGAAUAUUGGACAAUGGGCGAAAGCCUGAUCCAGCCAUGCCGCGUGUGUGAAGAAGGCUUUCGGGUUGUAAAGCACUUUCAGCGAGGAAGAAAGCGUGCCGGCCAAUACCCGGUACGGACGACAUCACUCGCAGAAGAAGCACCGGCUAACUCCGUGCCAGCAGCCGCGGUAAUACGGAGGGUGCAAGCGUUAAUCGGAAUUACUGGGCGUAAAGCGCGCGUAGGCGGCGUGUCACGCCGGGUGUGAAAGCCCCGGGCUCAACCUGGGAACGGCAUCCGGAACGGGCAGGCUAGAGUGCAGGAGAGGAAGGUAGAAUUCCCGGUGUAGCGGUGAAAUGCGUAGAGAUCGGGAGGAAUACCAGUGGCGAAGGCGGCCUUCUGGACUGACACUGACGCUGAGGUGCGAAAGCGUGGGUAGCAAACAGGAUUAGAUACCCUGGUAGUCCACGCCGUAAACGAUGUCGACUAGCCGUUGGGUCCCUUGAGGACUUAGUGGCGCAGUUAACGCGAUAAGUCGACCGCCUGGGGAGUACGGCCGCAAGGUUAAAACUCAAAUGAAUUGACGGGGGCCCGCACAAGCGGUGGAGCAUGUGGUUUAAUUCGAUGCAACGCGAAGAACCUUACCUACCCUUGACAUCCUGCGAACCCGGAAGAGAUUCCGGGGUGCCUUCGGGAGCGCAGAGACAGGUGCUGCAUGGCUGUCGUCAGCUCGUGUUGUGAAAUGUUGGGUUAAGUCCCGUAACGAGCGCAACCCUUGUCCCUAUUUGCCAGCGAUUCGGUCGGGAACUCUAGGGAGACCUGCCGGUGACAAACCGGAGGAAGGUGGGGACGACGUCAAGUCAUCAUGGCCCUUACGGGUAGGGCUACACACGUGCUACAAUGGCCGGUACAAAGGGUUGCGAAAGCGCGAGCUGAAGCUAAUCCCGAAAAGCCGGUCUCAGUCCGGAUCGGAGUCUGCAACUCGACUCCGCGAAGUCGGAAUCGCUAGUAAUCGUGCAUCAGAAUGGCACGGUGAAUACGUUCCCGGGCCUUGUACACACCGCCCGUCACACCAUGGAAGUGGACU
rnacentral:rRNA from 1 species